AGAAUCAACGCUGGCGGCGUGCCUCAGACAUGCAAGUCGAACGCGAAAGCCCCCUUCGGGGGGCAAGUAGAGUGGCGCACGGGUGAGUAACACGUAGGUAAUCUACCUUCGGAUGGGGAAUAACAACCGGAAACGGUUGCUAAUACCGCAUAAUGCAGCGGCACCUAAUGGUGACAGUUGUUAAAGCGGGGGAUCGAAAGACCUCGCGUCUGAAGAGGAGCCUGCGGCGGAUUAGCUAGUUGGUAGGGUAACGGCUUACCAAGGCAACGAUCCGUA
rnacentral:rRNA from 1 species